rnacentral:rRNA from 1 species
AGUGAACGCUGGCGGUAGGCCUAACACAUACAAGUCGAACGGCAGCACAGUAAGAGCUUGCUCUUACGGGUGGCGAGUGGCGGACGGGUGAGGAAUACAUCGGAAUCUACUUUUUCGUGGGGGAUAACGUAGGGAAACUUACGCUAAUACCGCAUACGACCUACGGGUGAAAGCAGGGGAUCUUCGGACCUUGCGCGAUUGAAUGAGCCGAUGUCGGAUUAGCUAGUUGGCGGGGUAAAGGCCCACCAAGGCGACGAUCCGUAGCUGGUCUGGGAGGAUGAUCAGCCACACUGGAACUGAGACACGGUCCAGACUCCUACGGGAGGCAGCAGUGGGGAAUAUUGGACAAUGGGCGCAAGCCUGAUCCAGCCAUACCGCGUGGGUGAAGAAGGCCUUCGGGUUGUAAAGCCCUUUUGUUGGGAAAGAAAAGCAGCAGGUUAAUACCCCGCUGUUCUGACGGUACCCAAAGAAUAAGCACCGGCUAACUUCGUG